CUUGCAACAGUUAUUGCUAAUUUAUGUUGUUUCAUCUUCUAUGCAAUUUUCUAAUUACGAAUCUCAAAUUUUUCACAUUCGGAUCAGUUAUUUUCUUUUCCGCCUGCUUUACACCAUGACGCCAUGGCAGAUUAACAAUCCUUACAUUUUUUUUGCUGCUUGCCAUUCUCAAACCAAAAUUCAUCUCACUCUCCCUUCUCAUUCGAGGUCAGUUAUGGCUGAAGAAGAGGUCAACCACAACGACUGUAUAUUCAAUUAAGGAUCCCGUGUGAAACAUUUUCAGAAAAAUAAAACUCUUACACGAUCAUGAGUCAUGACUAACCCAAUGACAUGCUAAGGUUAUCAAUUCUCAAUUAGUUCUUCCUUUAUUUUUUAUUUAAAAAAAUAGUUGAUCUUAUAUUUUUAAACUCAAAUAUAGUGCUAGACAAAUUGACUUUUUGAUUUUGUGAAAUCACAGUAAAACAAAAAACGAAGCCAUACAAGCACAAGAUGUACUG